AGUGAACGCUGGCGGCAGGCCUAACACAUGCAAGUCGAACGGCAGCACAGGGGAGCUUGCUCCCUGGGUGGCGAGUGGCGGACGGGUGAGGAAUACAUCGGAAUCUACCCUUUCGUGGGGGAUAACGUAGGGAAACUUACGCUAAUACCGCAUACGAUCUGAGGAUGAAAGCAGGGGACCGCAAGGCCUUGCGCGAUUGGAUGAGCCGAUGUCCGAUUAGCUAGUUGGCGGGGUAAAGGCCCACCAAGGCGACGAUCGGUAGCUGGUCUGAGAGGAUGAUCAGCCACACUGGAACUGAGACACGGUCCAGACUCCUACGGGAGGCAGCAGUGGGGAAUAUUGGACAAUGGGCGCAAGCCUGAUCCAGCCAUGCCGCGUGUGUGAAGAAGGCCUCCGGGUUGUAAAGCACUUUUGUUGGGAAAGAGAUCCUGUCGGCUAAUACCCGGCUGGGAUGACGGUACCCAAAGAAUAAGCACCGGCUAACUUCGUGCCAGCAGCCGCGGUAAGAC
rnacentral:rRNA from 1 species